AUUGAACGCUGGCGGCAGGCUUAACACAUGCAAGUCGAGCGGGGUGAUGGUGCUUGCACUAUCACUUAGCGGCGGACGGGUGAGUAAUGCUUAGGAAUCUGCCUAUUAGUGGGGGACAACAUCUCGAAUGGGAUGCUAAUACCGCAUACGUCCUACGGGAGAAAGCAGGGGAUCACUUGUGACCUUGCGCUAAUAGAUGAGCCUAAGUCGGAUUAGCUAGUUGGUGGGGUAAAGGCCUACCAAGGCGACGAUCUGUAGCGGGUCUGAGAGGAUGAUCCGCCACACUGGGACUGAGACACGGCCCAGACUCCUACGGGAGGCAGCAGUGGGGAAUAUUGGACAAUGGGGGGAACCCUGAUCCAGCCAUGCCGCGUGUGUGAAGAAGGCCUUAUGGUUGUAAAGCACUUUAAGCGAGGAGGAGGCUCUUUUGGUUAAUACCCAGAAUGAGUGGACGUUACUCGCAGAAUAAGCACCGGCUAACUCUGUGCCAGCAGCCGCAGUAA
rnacentral:rRNA from 1 species